UUGCACCCAUAAGAGAUAAAGCAAUUGUCAUGAUAUAUGUUCUCAACGAGAACAAAAAUGUCGUAUGGAACAAAAGGAUUAAAGCUUUCUUAUUUUUAUUUUCAGUACGAAUACAAAUCGUAAAAAUGACCUAUUGAUCCUUUACCUUUGGAGUUUAAAGUUAGAA
rnacentral:ncRNA from 1 species